rnacentral:rRNA from 1 species
AGAGUUUGAUCCUGGCUCAGAAUCAACGCUGGCGGCGUGCCUCAGACAUGCAAGUCGAACGAUUAAAGCUCUCUUCGGAGAGUGUAUAGAGUGGCGCACGGGUGAGUAACACGUAAGUAAUCUACCCUCGAGUGGGGAAUAACAGUCGGAAACGACUGCUAAUACCGCAUAAUGCAGCGGCACCGCAAGGUGACAGUUGUUAAAGGAGUAAUUCGCUUGAGGAGGAGCUUGCGGCAGAUUAGCUUGUUGGUAAGGUAACGGCUUACCAAGGCUACGAUCUGUAUCCGGUCUAAGAGGACGGUCGGACACACUGACACUGAAUAACGGGUCAGACUCCUACGGGAGGCAGCAGUCGGGAAUUUUGGGCAAUGGGCGAAAGCCUGACCCAGCCACGCCGCGUGAGUGAUGAAGGCCUUCGGGUUGUAAAGCUCUGUCGAACGGGAAAAAGUGAUAGGUGGUAUAAUACGCCAUCUAAGUGAUUGUACCGUUAGAGGAAGCACCGGCUAACUCUGUGCCAGCAGCCGCGGUAAUACAGAGGGUGCAAGCGUUAAUCGGAAUUACUGGGCGUAAAGCGUGCGCAGGCGGUUUUGUAAGACAGGCGUGAAAUCCCCGGGCUCAACCUGGGAAUGGCGCUUGUGACUGCAAGGCUGGAGUGCGGCAGAGGGGGAUGGAAUUCCGCGUGUAGCAGUGAAAUGCGUAGAUAUGCGGAGGAACACCGAUGGCGAAGGCAAUCCCCUGGGCCUGCACUGACGCUCAUGCACGAAAGCGUGGGGAGCAAACAGGAUUAGAUACCCUGGUAGUCCACGCCCUAAACGAUGUCAACUGGUUGUUGGGUAUUUACUUACUCAGUAACGAAGCUAACGCGUGAAGUUGACCGCCUGGGGAGUACGGCCGCAAGGUUGAAACUCAAAUGAAUUGACGGGGACCCGCACAAGCGGUGGAGCAUGUGGAUUAAUUCGAUACUAACCGAA